AGUGAACGCUGGCGGUAGGCCUAACACAUGCAAGUCGAACGGCAGCACAGUAAGAGCUUGCUCUUACGGGUGGCGAGUGGCGGACGGGUGAGGAAUACAUCGGAAUCUACUUUUUCGUGGGGGAUAACGUAGGGAAACUUACGCUACUACCGCAUACGACCUACGGGUGAAAGCAGGGGAUCUUCGGACCUUUCGCGAUUGAAUGAGCCGAUGUCGGAUUAGCUAGUUGGCGGGGUAAAGGCCCACCAAGGCGACGAUCCGUAGCUGGUCUGAGAGGAUGAUCAGCCACACUGGAACUGAGACACGGUCCAGACUCCUACGGGAGGCAGCAGUGGGGAAUAUUGGACAAAGGGCGCAAGCCUGAUCCAGCCAUACCGCGUGGGUGAAGAAGGCCUUCGGGUUGUAAAGCCCUUUUGUUGGGAAAGAAAAGCAGCAGGUUAAUACCCCGCUGUUCUGACGGUACCCAAAGAAUAAGCACCGGCUAACUUCGUG
rnacentral:rRNA from 1 species